CUGUUUUCUCCUGUAAGAUACAUUUCAGCCUCUUGCGAAUAGAAGGAAAAUUAUGAAACACUAGAGAGACGAAAGAUCGAAUUAUUUUGUAUUUAUUUUAUUUGUAAAAAAAAAAAAUGGAAGCCUGCAACCAUGAAUACACGCCACUGCCCUAAGGGACUGCGGAAAGAAUGAUAACGACCCUACAAUUGUGAAUUACUUUGAAGGACUUUAUAAUGAAAUAAUUUGCAUCAUUCAUUAGGGGCCAGUUGAAAAAAAUAUAUAAGGUUACCAUUGUGCACCAUUUCCUCACUCUAUCCAAAAGCAUUGUCCGAUGUCGACAAAUGUAUGAUGGCGCCGGGGGGGACGGCUGCCGUCUUAUCGGCUCUUAACCAACCAUGCUAUUUUGUUUGUUUUUUUGCGUUGUUCGUAACUUGUUUAGUACAUAAUGUUGAUGCUACCAACUCUUAUGACCGAAAAGAGCUUCUGGACAUCAGAACUGCGAUUGCGCACCUCAAACUGGACGAAUAGUUUUUCGUCAAUGAGUCGGACGGGAGGGAUAUACUACAGACACCCGACCAGGCCCAGAGCCCUGUGAUUCGCUGGAGAAGGAAACUGAGAUUUUGUGGGAAAAGAUCAGGGUGCCUUGUGAGGAUCAGGCGACGAUUGGCUAAUCUGACUUUGCCUUCCGUCCUGCUAGCUAAUCGCUGGAAAAUAAAUGGGAUGAACUGAAAGCACAUAUAUCCUACCAACCGGACAUUACAAACUGUAAUAUUGUAUGUUUCACCGAGUCGUGGCUGAACGACUUCAUUAAAAACAUACUAUGUGGGUUAUACACUCUAUUGGCAGGAUAGAACAGCAGUUUCUGGUAAGACAUGGGUCUGUGGCCUGUGAGAUUUGGCCCUGCAUAAUGGGGUGUUAAAGUUUAACCUAUACUUUUAAACUAAUAAAUAUAAUGAAACUUUGUAGCGCAAUAUUAAAACAAAUAACUGAUACAAUGCAAAGAUGUGUAGGGAAGUAGGGUGCAGACAGGCGUGAUCGAAACUAUGUUAAAGGCAACAGUUUAGACAAUGGAAAAACACUGAGAAUGAACAUAACAGGAAACUUCAGUGCACAACAACAAGGGUGCAAACCCGAGACCCAGUUUCUGCAAAGAUCACCACAGAACCACAGCGCUAAGGGGCUGGACUAGCUUAAGCGCCAACACCAGCGAUAGGCCAGUAAGUUUAAACCACGCUGAGCCUCUACUCUAACAGGCCUGUUCAGAAACAGGAACUAUCUCUGUUAGAGUAUAAGACAAGGGGAUUUUGGGGUGUUGGCACUUCUCUGUUUCAUCCUGCGUGAUGUUACAGUGAACCCGUAUACGGAAUUUGCAUUUGCCAUUUAUUAACUGCUGAAUAAAUAUUGACAUUAAUAUAAAAUAUAA
rnacentral:lncRNA from 1 species